rnacentral:RNase_P_RNA from 1 species
GCCCUGUAUUGGAUAGUUGCUCCGACUUAAAUCGGGGAGGAAAGUCCGAACACAUAGUCUUAGCCAAGCUAGGACAAACGUAGCGGGUAAUGCCCGUCAGGAGUAAUCCUAGGGUUGCGAACAGUGACGAACCGAUUUAGUUCGGGUGAAACGGCAAAAUACCUACGUGUGUGCAAGAUCGUGCCCUGAUGCCGGCCUUCGGGUCGGAGCGGGGAGAAUCGCUUGAGUUUUAGAGUAAUCUAAGACCUAGAUAAAUAACUAUCCAUUUUUUACGAAAGUGAAGGAGGACAGAAUUCGGCUUAUAGAUAUAAGGCUAAA